rnacentral:rRNA from 1 species
UACAGAGGGGGCAAGCGUUGUUCGGAAUUACUGGGCGUAAAGUGUGCGCAGGCGGCCGAGCAAGUCGAGUGUGAAAUCCCCGGGCUUAACUUGGGAAUUGCGCUCGAAACUACUUGGCUUGAGUGUGGCAGAGGAAGGUGGAAUUCCACGUGUAGCGGUGAAAUGACGUAGAGAUGUGGAGGAACACCGAUGGCGAAGGACAGCC